GAUGAAGAACGUAGCGAAAUGGGAUAAGUAAUGUGAAUUGCAGAAUUCAGUGAAUCAUCGAAUCUUUGAACGCACAUUGUGCCCGCCAGUAUUCUGGCGGGCAUGCCUGUUCGAGCGUCAUUUCAACCAUCAAGCCCCCGGCUUGUGUUGGGGACCUGCGGCUGCCGCAGGCCCUGAAAACCAGUGGCGGGCUCGCUAGUCACUCCGAGCGUAGUAAUACAUCUCGCUCAGGGCGUGCUGCGGGUUCCGGCCGUUAAAAAGCCUUAUUUACCCAAGGUUGACCUCGGAUCAGGGAGGAAGACCCGCUGAACUUAAGCAUAUCAAUAAGCGGAGGA
rnacentral:misc_RNA from 1 species